rnacentral:lncRNA from 10 species
UGAACAUACUACCAACAGUGAUUUUCUCCUUGGCCCAUUAACCACACGGAAGGGAGUAUUCGCUGUGGAGUGCCUCUGUAGCUGAGGGCCCCUGGCGCGUGGUUUCAUCAGAGGCAGACAGCUGCGUGAGUCACUGUGGUGGGCAGUGUGCUGGGCCACCCUGCGGGUCCUGCCAGAGUGCUGUGGAAUUCAAGUUUGUCUUCUCCAGUUUUAGUCUCUGCACGUGCGUUGGUCUCCUUUCUGCCCCUACAGUGUGGCCAAGGCCAUUCCAGCCUCAGGAGGGCAAGAGGAGGCCUGUUGGAUGCAUCCUGAAAACACAGGCCAUCACUGUGGGUGAGAUCUACCAGGACAGAUGCCAUUCUGCAAAGUGGCAGGAGAAACACAGAGCCAGACGUUACACUGCUUUUCAAAGAGAGUUGCCUCUGCUGCCCCAGCGAGGAUGGCGACACAAACAGCGGUGGUGUCAGCGGACAGCGGUGGUGUCAGCGGUGACCGAGGCAGGGCCGAGACUCCAGGGCCCUUCGGGUUCAAGCUGUGCCCCCUCGCGCAGUUCAGCACCUGCCAGCACUUCCAAGUGUGUGAUUGUCACGCUUGCCUGAUUACUC